rnacentral:rRNA from 1 species
GUGUCAGCCGCCGCGGUAAUACGUAGGUGGCAAGCGUUGUCCGGAUUUAUUGGGCGUAAAGCGAGCGCAGGCGGUUCCUUAAGUCUGAUGUGAAAGCCCACGGCUCAACCGUGGAAGGUCAUUGGAAACUGGGGAACUUGAGUGCAGAAGAGGAGAGUGGAAUUCCAUGUGUAGCGGUGAAAUGCGUAGAUAUAUGGAGGAACACCAGUGGCGAAGGCGACUCUCUGGUCUGUAACUGACGCUGAGGCUCGAAAGCGUGGGGAGCAAACAGGAUUAGAAACCCCCGUAGUCC